rnacentral:misc_RNA from 1 species
CAACCCUCAAGCCCCGCUUGGUGUUGGGGUCCUACGGCUGCCGUAGGCCCUGAAAGGAAGUGGCGGGCUCGCUACAACUCCGAGCGUAGUAAUUCUUUAUCUCGCUAGGGAGGUUGCGGCGCGCUCCUGCCGUUAAAGACCCCAUCUUUAACCAA